rnacentral:rRNA from 1 species
CAAGCGGUGGAGCAUGUGGUUUAAUUCGAUGCAACGCGAACAACCUUACCUACUCUUGACAUCCACCGAACUUUGCAGAGAUGCUUUGGUGCCUUCGGGAACGCUGAGACAGGUGCUGCAUGGCUGUCGUCAGCUCGUGUUGUGAAAUGUUGGGUUAAGUCCCGCAACGAGCGCAACCCUUAUCCUUUGUUGCCAGCGAUACGGUCGGGGACUCAAAGGAAACUGCCGGUGAUAAACCGGAGGAAGGUGGGGAUGACGUCAAGUCAUCAUGGCCCUUACUAGUAGGGCUACACACGUGCUACAAUGGCGCAUACAAAGAGAAGCGACCUCGCGAGAGCAAGCGGACCUCAGAAAGUGCGUCGUAGUCCGGAUCGGAGUCUGCAACUCGACUCCGUGAAGUCGGAAUCGCUAGUAAUCGUGGAUCAGAAUGCCACGGUGAAUACGUUCCCGGGCCUUGUACACACC